AGUGAACGCUGGCGGUAGGCCUAACACAUGCAAGUCGAACGGCAGCACAGUAAGAGCUUGCUCUUACGGGUGGCGAGUGGCGGACGGUUGAGGAAUACAUCGGAAUCUACUUUUUCGUGGGGGAUAACGUAGGGACACUUACGCUAAUACCGCAUACGACCUACGGGUGAAAGCAGGGGAUCUUCGGACCUUGCGCGAUUGAAUGAGCCGAUGUCGGAUUAAGUAGUUGGCGGGGUAAAGGCCCACCAAGGCGACGAUCCGUAGCUGGUCUGAGAGGAUGAUCAGCCACACUGGAACUGAGACACGGUCCAGACUCCUACGGGAGGCAGCAGUGGGGAAUAUUGGACAAUGGGCGCAAGCCUGAUCCAGCCAUACCGCGUGGAGGAAGAAGGCCUUCGGGUUGUAAAGCCCUUUUGUUGGGAAAGAAAAGCAGCAGGUUAAUACCCCGCUGUUCUGACGGUACCCAAAGAAUAAGCACCGGCUAACUUCGUG
rnacentral:rRNA from 1 species